GUUUCUGUGGUGUAGCGGUUAUCACAGUCGCCUCACACGCGAAAGGUCCCUGGUUCGAAACCAGGCAGAAACA